rnacentral:rRNA from 1 species
UUCCGGUUGAUCCCGCCGGAGGUUACUGCUUUCGAGGUUCGACUAAGCCAUGCGAGUCGAAUGUCCGUAAGGACAUGGCGAACUGCUCAGUAACACGUGGACAACCUGCCCUUUGGACAGGGAUACCCCUGGGAAACUGGGACUAAUCCCUGAUAAGUCUCCGUAGCUGGAAUGCUCGGAGACGGAAAGCUCCGGCGCCACAGGAUGGGUCUGCGGCCUAUCAGGGUAGUAGUGGGUGUAGAGUACCUACUAGCCUACGACGGGUACGGGUUGUGAGAGCAAGAGCCCGGAGAUGGAUUCUGAGACACGAAUCCAGGCCCUACGGGGUGCAGCAGGCGCGAAAACUUUACAAUGCGGGACACCGCGAUAAGGGGACCUCGAGUGCUGGCAUACAAUGCUGGCUGUCCAGCUGCCUAAAUAGCAGUUGAUAGCAAGGGCCGGGCAAGACCGGUGCCUGCCGCCGCGGUAACACCGGCGGCUCGAGUGGUAACCGCUAUUAUUGGGUCUAA